UCCGUGUUGAUCCUGGCAGAGGUCACUGCUAUCGGGGUUCGAUUAAGCCAUGCGAGUCGAGAGGGUUCAGACCCUCGGCGGACUGCUCAGUAACACGUGGAUAAUCUGCCCUAUGGUGGAGGAUAGCCCCGGGAAACUGGGGAUAAUACUCCAUAAGUCAGGAGUACUGGAAUGCCUCCUAACUGAAAGUUGCGGCGCCAUAGGAUGAAUCUGCGGCCGAUUAGGUAGUUGUUGGGGUAACGGCCCAACAAGCCUGUAAUCGGUACGGGUUGUGGGGGCAAGAGCCCGGAGAUGGAAUCUGAGACACGAUUCCAGGCCCUACGGGGCGCAGCAGGCGCGAAAACUUUACAAUGCAGGAAACUGUGAUAAGGGAACCCCGAGUGCCCGUAAACGCGGGCUGUCCCCGUGUUUAAAACACAUCGGAAGAAAGGGCCGGGCAAGACCGGUGCCAGCCGCCGCGGUAAUACCGGCGGCUCGAGUGGUGACCACUUUUAUUGGGCUUAAAGCGUUCGUAGCUUGAUUUUUAAGUCUCUUGGGAAACCUCACGGCUUAACUGUGAGGCGUCUAAGAGAUACUGGGAAUCUAGGGACCGGGAGAGGUAAGAGGUACUUCAGGGGUAGAAGUGAAAUUCUGUAAUCCUUGAGGGACCACCGAUGGCGAAGGCAUCUUACCAGAACGGCUUCGACAGUGAGGAACGAAAGCUGGGGGAGCGAACGGGAUUAGAUACCCCGGUAGUCCCAGCCGUAAACUAUGCGCGUUAGGUGUGCCUGUAACUACGAGUUACCGGGGUGCCGAAGUGAAAACGUGAAACGUGCCGCCUGGGAAGUACGGUCGCAAGGCUGAAACUUAAAGGAAUUGGCGGGGGAGCACCACAACGGGUGGAGCCUGCGGUUUAAUUGGACUCAACGCCGGGCAGCUCACCGGAUAGGACAGCGGAAUGAUAGCCGGGCUGAAGACCUUGCUUGACCAGCUGAGAGGAGGUGCAUGGCCGUCGUCAGUUCGUACUGUGAAGCAUCCUGUUUAGUCAGGCAACGAGCGAGACCCA
rnacentral:rRNA from 1 species